CAUCACGUGACCAAGCGCCUGACACUGCUUCGCCGCACCGAUCACUCCGACGACGAUUCCAACCAUCUUUCCGGCCUUCCCGUGCCGCUACGCGGUCUUUUGGUGAAUCGAUUGGACUCUCUUGUGUGUACAACCUUGGGUACCUCCUAUUUUUUCACGGUUCAUAAAUCUUUACCAUGACAGAAGGUAAAAGGGUCUCGAUUCCUAACUCUGAUUAUUCGUCCUCCGUGCCACAUCUAAUUUUGUAAAGUCAGGUAAUGCUUCCUCUCUUAAUAAUGUUCCAUGGAUUAUUGAUUCUGGUGCGAAUAGACACAUGACAAACUCUUCUAAAGGCUUUCUCAAUUAUUUUCUUUCUGUAACCGAAGAUAGUGUCAGAAUUACUGAUGGCUCUUUUACUCCUAUAUUCGGAACGGGUUCUGUUAUUUGCACAUCCAACAUUAAAUUAUCAUAUGUCCUUCAUGUUCCCCACUUUCUUGUCAACCUUUUAUCUGUCAGUGCUAUCACCAAUGCCCUUAAUUGUAAAUUUGAAUUCUUUCCUGAUCAUUGUGUUAUUCAAGAUCUUCGCACAGAAAAGAGGAUUGGCAAUGGUAGGUUGCAUGAUGGCUUAUAUAUGUUGGAGGGUGAUCCAGGUUCUUCGAUAUCUCAAACCUGUUUUGGAGAAAAUAAGAAUGUCAAUCAAGAAAUAAUACAGUAGCACAAACGGUUAGGGCAUCCAUCAUUUUUUGCCUUAGAAAAACUUUAUCCUAAUUUGUUUGCUAGAACUCAGUUUGAUUCUCUAUUUUGUGAUGCUUGUGAGUAUGCUAAACACACUAGAACAUCCUAUUCUUUGAGUCAUAAUAAAAGUCAAAUUCCUUUUGCGACUAUUCAUUCUGAUGUUUAGGAGCCUACUCAAACUAUCUCCUUAUUUGGUAAUCGAUGGUUUGUCACCUUUAUUAAUUGUUGCACUCGAAUGACUUGGGUCUAUUUGAUUAAAGCUAAAAGUGAUAUCUUUUCUUGUUUUUAAUCCUUCAUAAGAUGGUUUGUACUCAAUUUGAUACUAAGGUGAAAAUUUUGAGAACUAACAAUGGAAGAUAAUACAUGGAUAGUAGUUUUUCUGCUUAUUUGGAGAGUAAUGGAAUAGUACACCAGACUAGUUGUCCUUAUAUUAGUGCUCAAAAUGGCGUUGUUGAGAGGAAAAAUAGGCAUCUAUUGAAGGUAGCUCGAUCUCUUAUGUUUACCAUGAAUCUACCCAAAGCAUAUUGGGGAGAUGCAAUCCUUGCAUAUGCUUAUCUUAUCAAUAGAAUGCCUCUCAAGACCUUUGACUUUAUUAGUCAUUUGGUGAUUCUACAAGGAAAGAAUUCAUACGUUGUUCCACCAAAAGUAUUUGGGUGUGUUUGCUUUGUCCAUACUAGGACAGCAGGAAAAUUGGAUCCCAAGGCCCUUAAAUGUGUGUUUGUUGGGUAUUCUCCAACACAGAAGGGAUACAAAUGUUAUUGUUGACUUAUUUGCUGAUCCUAACUGAUUCUAGGGAUAUGAUUUGAUUUGAUUAGGAUCCUUAAUUAUCUCUGUAAUUAUUAUUUGAUUAUUUACUUCCUGUUUAGAUAUAAUUCUUUGUGUAUAAAUAGUCAUAUAAACCAAUUGUAAAGAUUAAGAGUGAAAUACAAGAAUUCUCUAAAUUUUCCCAAAAUUCUUCAUGGUAUCAGAGCCUUUUCCUGAUUUUAGGGUUCAAAUUUAAUUUUUUCCUCUUUAGGGUUUCAAAACCCUAGAUCUACCUUUUUUGGUACUAACCCAUUUAGGAGUCUUUCCUCCUCUCACCGCCGACACCAGGACUGUCGUCGGCCGAUCGCCCAGCUCCGACGUCGAAAAAGCCCGCACGUGAGGCUCACACGGCUCCCUUUCCCGGCACAUGACCAAUCGCUUGACGCUGCUUCGCGGCUCCAAUCACUUCGGCGAUGAUUUCGACCAUCUUUUCGGCCUUCCCGUGCCGCUACCCGAUCUUUUGGUGAAUCGGUUGGGCUCUCUUGUGUGUACAACCUUGGGUACCUCCUAUUCUUUCACGAUUCACAAAUCUUUACCAUGGCAGAAGGUAAAAGGGUCUCGAUUCCUAACUCUGAUUCCUCGUCCUCCAGUGCCACAUCUAACUUUGUAAAGUCAGGUAAUGCUUACUCUCUUAAUAAUGUUCCAUGGAUUAUCGAUUCUGGUGCGAAUAGACACAUGACAUGCUCUUCUAAAGGCUUUCUCAAUUAUUUUCCUUCUCUAACCCAAGAUAGUAUCAGAAUUGAUGAUGGCUCUUUUACUCCCAUAUCCGGAACAGGUUCUGUUACAAGAAACUACCUAACAGUAAAAGAAGAAAUAUUCAAUGACAAGAACCAGCAACUCAGCAGCAACCCAGCAAAUAAUAACCAUUAAUUGUUCAUAAAUUCUAAAAAUCAAC
rnacentral:lncRNA from 1 species